GCUUAAUAAAAAUUUUUUAUUUAAUAAAAUUUUUUAUAAAUAUAAAUGUUUGGUAAAUAAUUUUAUUUUAUUGGGGUGAUAAUGGUAAAAUGAUUAUUAACUGUUAAUUAAAUUAAGACAAAAAUAAAUGAAUUAUAAAUUUUAUUUAAUAAAUGAUCCUAUUUAAAGAUUAAGAGUUUAAGUU
rnacentral:rRNA from 1 species